UCCUUUGUCAUUGCCUGUGAAAAAAGAACAGUAUUUUUAAAAAACGAAUAAAAAAACGCACGUGUUCGAUUUUUCAGCGGUUUUUCGUACUAAUGGCGAGGUAACCGUCCAAGUUCAGGUUAACCGAAUCAUGUUGGCAGUCGUUUUGCAAUAAGCUAAUAUACAAAUUUAAAAGCCGAUGCCUGAUUGACUGUGUUAAAGUAUUUUUAGUGCAACCGAAAACAACUCGAAGAGGCGUUUGUUACAGAUUUAAAGUCGUGGCUGUGAUUCUGUGCUGAACUGGUCACAUCAUCGGUCCAGCUGCUCCUCCUGCCUCCAGACGCACAUUUUCCCAGAGGUCCAUGCAGCCCAGUGGUUCUGAAGUUACCAGGACUGCGGGAUGUAUUGUGACAGACUUUAAAUGUGAGGAAUAAGAGCCCUCAUCACUCAUCACGUCUGCUGGAUGAAAGGCCCCGAAAGCAGCCAGCCACCCUGCUGGACACAGCUCAGCUGUUAUAAGAAGUGUUUGACAGAGGUGGCAGGUACAGACCUGACAUGGAAAAUCAGAGAGUGAUCCCAUAGUGGAAGAGCAAGAUGGUGAAAGAAAAGUUGAAGGAUGGAGAAGAAGGAUUGCAUCUAAACUUCACUUUGAUGCCUGGACAAACACAACAGCAGCAUGGCGUCAGCUGCUGUGGCUUUUGUAAUGACAUCUGGCUAAGUCUGUUGGACUCACUAAAAGGAGUCGGCUGUUGGCCGAGCCUGUAUCACGGUGCAGAGCACUUGAUCAGAGCUCUUGAUCAGUGAUGUCAGACUUUAUGCACACCUGAGACCACACACAGUUUUAGCACAACGGCUACAAAACAAAAUGCAAUGUUGACAUGUCAUUGCUGACUAGACGUCCUUACGUCAGUGAUUUAGACUCUCAUGACUGGGCCUAAAUCACUGACUCUGAGGAUGGUAGGAGAGUUGAAAGGAGAAAAGGAUGAAAAACCAAGAGUCAAAUCUAGACUUUCUAUUUUUACACAAGCGUCUCUCUCUAACAAGGCUCCAUUGGCUUAUAGCCACUCAGGUACAUGCUCAGACAAUCAGGAUGAGCCUCUUCAACGCCUGGAGGUGCUGCCUUAUAAAAGGACAACAGCCGCCCACUUUUCUGUGGUGACAGCAGACGACGGCAUAGCAACUUCAUCAGACUGCUCUGCAGAGUUCUGGGGUUCCUGCAAUAGUUGACUGCACUGGCUAAGGGCUGCUGUAUGUGCAAUGGUGCUGAGCACACCCCUGCUGGUGUCAUGCAGCUUUCUCUCUUACUGCCUCCAGCAAAAAGUUUUGCCACACAAAAAUAUGCUAAAGCUUCACACCAAAGGGUAUUUAUGUCCCACCUUUCUUCCUUGCCGUCAUAUCUGCUGUGCAUUACAUCACAUACAAUCUACGCUUCAUUUUACAGCUACCAUAAAACCUGGCUGCUGACCAAUCGCAAACUGUGCUGACAGUGCUGCAGACCGAGGAAAAAAGAGAGGACGGGACAUUUGAAAAUGGAGAAAGCUAUCAUAUUAACCAUUAACCAUUAACCAUUUUUAUACAGUGUAUCCAUUUUCUUUAAAGAGAGGAAAAAAUGCCAAUAGAACUUUCCAUUUUCAUACAAACAAAAUGAGCCACAUCCAGAGGUAGCUGCUGCAAGACCUGCAAGUCAUCACCACACCAGCAAGCUUCCAGCACCACCUAUUUCGGGAGGAUGUACAAAUA